rnacentral:rRNA from 1 species
AAGCCCCGGCUAAAUACGUGCCAGCAGCCGCGGUAAUACGUAUGGGGCAAGCGUUAUCCGGAAUUAUUGGGCGUAAAGAGUGCGUAGGUGGUUACCUAAGCGCAAGGUUUAAUCUUGAGGCUCAACCUCAUUCUGCCUUGCGAACUGGGCUACUUGAGUGCAGGAGGGGAAAGCGGAAUUCCCAGUGUAGCGGUGAAAUGCGUAGAUAUUGGGAAGAACACCGGUGGCGAAGGCGGCUCUCUGGACUGUAACUGACACUGAGGCACGAAAGCGUGGGGAGCAAACAGGAUUAGAUACCCUGGUAGUCCACGCCGUAAACGAUGAGCACUAGUUGUUGGGUACGAAUGUAUUCAGUGACGCAGUUAACGCAAUAAGUGCUCCGCCUGGGGAGUACGGUGGCAACACUAAAACUCAAAGGAAUUGACGGGGACCCGCACAAGCAGCGGAGCAUGUGGUUUAAUUCGAAGCAACGCGAAAAACCUUACCAGGGCUUGACAUCCCUCUGACCGGCUCUUAACCGAGCCUUUCUUCGGACAGAGGUGACAGGUGGUGCAUGGUUGUCGUCAGCUCGUGUCGUGAGAUGUUGGGUUAAGUCCCGCAACGAGCGCAACCCUUGUCGUCAGUUACUAACAUUAAGUUGAGGACUCUGACGAGACUGCCGAGGUCAACUCGGAGGAAGGUGGGGAUGACGUCAAAUCAUCAUGCCCCUUAUGUUCUGGGCUACACACGUGCUACAAUGGUCGGUACAAUGAGACGCAAUACAGUGAUGUGGAGCAAAUCACCAAAACCGAUCCCAGUUCGGAUUGCAGGCUGCAACUCGCCUGCAUGAAGUCGGAGUUGCUAGUAAUCGCGAAUCAGCAUGUCGCGGUGAAUGCGUUCCCGGGUCUUG